GGAAAAGAUGGAAGAAUUUGCUUUAAUUCAAGAAAGAGAGUGGAGCAGACUCAGAAGACUGUGAUAUCGGAAAGAGGAUCACUCAUUGUUCUACCGCCCCAGCAAUGAACAGCUCCCUUAAGAGCACUUGGGGAGGACCAGCCACAGGCAGUCAGUUGGUGUAAACUGACAAAGAUCCACUGAAAUUGAUGGAGCUACUCUGAUUUACAUCAGAUGUUUGGGCAGGAACCAUACCCAGUGAGUAUACUCUGAAAUUGGACGUUAUUGUGAAGACUGAAUGGCAAUAGUUCUCAAGCUUCUUAGCUUGUGGCCCACCCUGCUAAACACAGACCUUUCCAUAGACCACCAGCCAACCACCUAUGGUGACAAAAUGGGUUCAGGAAAGCAAAGAAUUCUGCGGGGGACAUAAAUUCUGUGCGGUAGUGCAGAACUCCCCCACGAAUAACAGCUAUUCCAGUUUGGAGGAUAUUGCUGCUGUGCAAGCUGUCUGAAACCCCAGCCUUCAAUUCAUCACAUAGGCAUCUUUAGAGAAGAAUGGCAUGGAACAUAGAGUGAAACAUUUAGUGCCAAUUGCCAAUUCAAUUGCUACCAUCUCAGAUCAAAGCAGUUAGCAGAGUGCUUGGUCCAAACAUAAAGAGAGCAACAGAAAAAGGGAGAGAGCUGCUUUUUUUUUUCCACGUUACUGUAGAACUCUUGAAAUAACAAUGCAGGAAAACACAAUUGAAUUGCUUUUCAAAAACUGGUUUUAAAAAACUAGAUUUCCCUUAAUAUCUUCAAAAGGAAAGCAAUUUCAAGAAAACAGACAGGCAGAAAAAUGUGAAAAUCCACAUACUGCUAAACAGGUGUUUAGCAAAGAUUACAGGGGAGUAAGUAGAACAGUGUAUAAUAAAAAAGGGUACUUGAAUUAAGUCUGUAUCUGGUGAUUAUAAAUAAUUAAGUGAUGGGGGUGUCUAUAAAUCAGGCAUUGCUGCUUUAGAGGACUGAACAUUAAAAGGAGUCACAUACUUUGGAAACAUGAUUGUCUAGUGAAACUUGCCAAGGAACCAUUUGGCUUGUGAUUCAGAGGACCUGAAGACUUUCAGCAGUCUCUCUCAAUUAUUGGGCCUACUUCAAAGUUCUUCAGCAACAACAGACUGUUACAAACAAUGCUGUCCAUCUAAUAGCCCAAUCUUGUAAGAUAUUGACUGAGUGCCCCUGAAGAGUUGGCAGGACUUAGCACUUCUCACGAGCUCCUCAGCUUCUUAAAAGAGAGGACCCUGCAAAAGGAAACAGAAAGUGGCCUGAGACAGAGUGUCUGACAAGAAGGAAAUGAGGAAAGCAUUUUUUAUACAUAUAGAAGGUAUUGUUUACAGAGGAAUGUGAAGUAGGUGCCGACUUUGCACAAUAUUGCAAUCCAACAGCAGAGGGGUUAAAGCUCUGUUGAGCGUGAAUGCACAUGGGCUUCAAGAGUAUUACAUGUGGCUGCUGUUUCUUUGGGAUCAAAAUUGUUUACACUAUAAUCUGCUUGCACCUGCAGAUUGCUGCAGUUUUGUCUGCUGUUCAGUGCUUCCUGAGAAGCUGAUAAUUCACAUGGCUGAUUAAGCUGCUGUUUUGAUCUCUUCCUCUUUGGAAUCUCUUCUAGUGUGUUUAAUAAAAAGCCCUAUUAAGAAAGUACAAGUGGGUGCUUUGUGCUUCUUCAACACCUAAUUUACUAUUUUUAACAUUAAAUACUCCAUCACAUGUCCUGAAUUUGAUUAUACAUAUUGUGUUUAACAUAAUAGCUUCUUGCUGCAGAUUUACACACGUUCUUUAACAAGUAUUUCCAACCAAGAAUCCAGGCUGCAAUCUUCCCAGAAGUAUUCUUCGCCUAUCCCAGAUCUUUGUAUUAUUAACUAAGAGACAUAAUGGAGUGCCAUCAUUCACAUUAAGGGUGUUAAACAACCUGCUUAGGCUUUGCUGUAUAUAUAAAAUAUAUAUCAAAUAGAGAAGGAGAAUGUGCAUUCAAUUUAGGCCACAAAAUACGAAAGGGCAAAUCUGCAUAAAAUUAGGAGCAAACAGCACCAGUUGAUUUCAUUGAGGGUCAUAAAUGAAUGUGGUCCAAAUGAAGUGGGAGAAAAAUGUUACUCAAAAUCCCUGAACUAUUUUUAAAUCACAAGGGGUAACAAAUUAGCAUUAGUUACCCUUAGGUGCUUUCAUUUGAGUGACCAGUGCAGCUAUCACUCAGCAUAAAACAUUGAUCUCACUGACUCUGGCAGAAUUAUAGAGGGCUUGUUUCUGUGAUCUAUUGUUGAACAAUUUAUCUGAUGCAUUAAUCAUAUCUGAGAUACUGGAUUUGGAUUGCAGAUUUUCCUUUUUAGAUCUCUUUCCUCCAGUGUACACAUUUACUGAGCUCGUGAAAAAAAAUGAAAUUACAUUUUCAAUGUUUAUGUUUCACUUUCUAUUAGCUCAU